GACAGAGGGUGCAAACGUUGCUCGGAAUCACUGGGCGUAAAGGGCGCGUAGGCGGGAAUGUAAGUCGGGCGUGAAAUCCCCCAGGCUCAACCUGGGAACUGCACUCGAAACUGCGUUUCUUGAGUAUCGGAGAGGAAAGCGGAAUUCCUGGUGUAGAGGUGAAAUUCGUAGAUAUCAGGAGGAACACCAGUGGCGAAGGCGGCUUUCUGGACGGUAACUGACGCUGAGG
rnacentral:rRNA from 1 species